AUUGAACGCUGGCGGCAUGCCUUACACAUGCAAGUCGAACGGCAGCACGGGUGCUUGCACCUGGUGGCGAGUGGCGAACGGGUGAGUAAUAUAUCGGAACGUACCUUAUUGUGGGGGAUAACGCAGCGAAGGCUGUGCUAAUACCGCAUAAUCCCUAAGGGGGAAAGCGGGGGACCGUAAGGCCUCGCGCAAUUAGAGCGGCCGAUACCUGAUUAGCUAGUUGGUGAGGUAAAGACUCACCAAGGCAACGAUCAGUAGCUGGUCUGAGAGGACGAUCAGCCACACUGGGACUGAGACACGGCCCAGACUCCUACGGGAGGCAGCAGUGGGGAAUUUUGGACAAUGGGGGCAACCCUGAUCCAGCAAUGCCGCGUGAGUGAAGAAGGCCUUCGGGUUGUAAAGCUCUUUUGUCAGGGAAGAAACAGCAGCUCUAACACAGUUUGCGAAUGACGGUACCUGAAGAAUAAGCACCGGCUAAUUACGUGCCAGCCGCCGCCGUAA
rnacentral:rRNA from 1 species